rnacentral:rRNA from 1 species
UGGAGCCUGCGGUUAAUUGGACUCAGCGCCGGGCAGCUCACCGGAUAAGACAGCCGGAUGAUAGCCGGGCUGAAGACUCUGCUUGACUAGCUGAGAGGAGGUGCAUGGCCGUCGUCAGUUCGUACUGUGAAGCAUCCUGUUAAGUCAGGCAACGAGCGAGACCCACGCCCACAGUUGCCAGCGUACUCUCUGGAGUGACGGGUACACUGUGGGACCGCCGCUGCUAAAGCGGAGGAAGGAAUGGGCAACGGUAGGUCAGUAUGCCCCGAAUAUCCCGGGCUACACGCGAGCUACAAUGGUUGGUACAAUGGGUAUCUACCCCGAAAGGGGACGGGAAUCUCCUAAAACCAAUCUUAGUUCGGAUUGAGGGCUGCAACUCGCCCUCAUGAAGCUGGAAUCCGUAGUAAUCGCGUUUCAACAGAACGCGGUGAAUACGUCCCUGCUCCUU